rnacentral:rRNA from 1 species
UACAGAGGGGGCAAGCGUUGUUCGGAAUUACUGGGCGUAAAGAGCGUGUAGGCGGCCAUGUAGGUCCGGUGUGAAAACUCGAGGCUUAACCUCGAGAUGUCAUCGGAAACCAUUUGGCUAGAGUCCGGAAGAGGAGAGUGGAAUUCCUGGUGUAGCGGUGAAAUGCGCAGAUAUCAGGAAGAACACCAAUGGCGAAAGCAGCUCUCUGGGACGGUACUGACGCUGAGACGCGAAAGCGUGGGGAGCAAACAGG